UAUUUAUUUUUAAAAUACUUUUUUUUUUUUGUAUUUAAUCCUCUCAAUUUUUUAUUUUUUAUUUUUUACCAAAUGAGCCUUAUAAAUUUAUAUUUACUUAAAUGAUCCUCCUUGCCACGCGAGCACCACGUUGGCCAUUUUAAGUUAAACUAGUAUAGAGACCCGCGCGAUGCAGCGGGUAGAUAAUACAAGCAAAAUUUAAAAAUUUUAAUAAAAUUUAUAUUUACGAGUUAUUGAUAUAUAGAAAACUAUACCAGGUUAAGUACAGUUAAUUUGCAUGACUAAAUUUAACUAUUAAAAAAAUAAAUUAUAGCUAGAAUCCACUUAUUGAUAAAAUAUUAAUAUGGUGUAUGUAAUUAAUUGUUGCACCUUAUAUGUAAUUAGAUGAGUGGGGAAGUGAAGGGUUGGGCGUUGAGAAGAAAAGAAGAUGUUCUGAUUUAAAAUUGGGCUAUGAGAAUAAAGGGCAACAUGUUACGUGGUAAAAAAAUUUUUAUAGUGCAUGCAAAAGAGUUACAAAAGAGAGGGGGUGGGAGAUUAAUGGAGAAAAGAGUUGAUUAAAGUUAUAAAGCCCACUCAUUGAUAGAAUAUUAAUAUGGUGCAUAUAAUUAAAUGUUGCACCUUUCAUGUAAUUAGAGGAGUGGAGAGUGAAAGGUAACAUGCCACGUGGCAAAAAAUAUUGUAGCUUCAUAUAAGUUUUAGAUUUAGAUACGGUGAUUAAAUCACCGUAUUCAUAUUCACAGGUUAGGUGAUAAAAAAUAUAAAAAAAAAUACGGUGAUCCAAUGAUUGAAUCAUCAUAUUCAGCUUAAAAACCUCACCUACAAGCUCACAUGGCAAGAAAAGAAUUAUUUAUGUAAAUAUGAAUUUGUUAUGACUAUUUGUAAA
rnacentral:lncRNA from 1 species